AAUCCACUUAUCCACAUGCAAUGUUAGCACAGAACCCAGGCAGUCAUAGUAAGUGAUGCAAAUCCGUUCUGCAUGAACUACAAACAUCAGACACACAAUUGUUAUAGCUAAAUGAUAUCUAUAUUUUGUUGAGACUCUACACUAUAAAAGAACAUUGAUUAAUAUUACUACAAAUCAACUCCAGAGCUUGCUGGCCAACUGACUAAAGUUGAUUAUUCUGC
rnacentral:lncRNA from 1 species